GCUGGUGGUCGGGGGCCUAGAGCAGCGGUUGCACUUAGUUGCGGCUGCUGUCACAAUGUCCCGCGUUUUGGUGCCUUGCCAUGUGAAAGGCUCCGUAGCCCUCCAGGUGGGCGACGUGCGGACCUCCCAAGGCCGGCCUGGCGUGCUGGUCAUCGAUGUCACCUUCCCCAGCGUCGCUCCCUUCGAGUUGCAGGAAAUCACGUUUAAGAAUUACUACACAGCUUUUUUGAGCAUCCGUGUCCGUCAGUACACCUCAGCACACACACCUGCCAAGUGGGUGACCUGCCUGCGGGACUACUGCCUAAUGCCUGACCCACACAGUGAGGAGGGAGCCCAGGAGUAUGUAUCGCUGUUCAAGUAUCAGAUGCUGUGUGACAUGGCUAGAGUAUCGGAGCUACGCCUGAUUCUGCGGCAGCCAUCACCACUGUGGCUGUCUUUCACAGUGGAGGAGCUGCAGAUCUAUCAGCAGGGACCAAAGAGCCCCUCCGUGACCUUUCCCAAGUGGCUCUCCCACCCAGUGCCCUGUGAGCAACCUGCACUCCUCCGUGAGGUAAGCCCUCACCCUAGGUAAGAACCAUGUGUGAAUGGCUCUAGUGUCCAACACAGGCCAGGUAGACCCCUUCCUGUAAAAUUCUGGGGCUGGGC
rnacentral:sRNA from 1 species